GCUAAACGCGAAGAACCUUACCCAGACUUGACAUGCACUGGACCGUGCUAGAAAUAGCACUUCCCUUCGGGGCCGGUGCACAGGUGCUGCAUGGCUGUCGUCAGCUCGUGCCGUGAGGUGUUGGGUUAAGUCCCGCAACGAGCGCAACCCUUAUCGUUAGUUGCCAACACGUAAUGGUGGGAACUCUAAUGAGACUGCCCGGGUUAACCGGGAGGAAGGUGAGGAUGACGUCAAGUCCGCAUGGCCCUUAUGUCUGGGGCUACACACGUGCUACAAUGGUCGGUACAAAAGGCAGCGAAACUGUGAAGUGAAGCAAAUCCCGAAAGCCGACCCCAGUUCAGAUUGUAGUCUGCAACUCGACUACAUGAAGAUGGAAUUGCUAGUAAUGGCGAGUCAGCAACAUCGCCGUGAAUACGUU
rnacentral:rRNA from 1 species